rnacentral:rRNA from 1 species
UACGAAGGGGGCUAGCGUUGCUCGGAAUCACUGGGCGUAAAGCGCACGUAGGCGGAUCAUUAAGUCGGGUGUGAAAUCUCGGAGCUUAACUCCGAAACUGCAUUCGAUACUGCCGUGCUUGAGGACUGGAGAGGAGACUGGAAUUUACGGUGUAGCGGUGAAAUGCGUAGAUAUCGUAAGGAAGACCAGUGGCGAAGGCGGGUCUCUGGACAGUUCCUGACGCUGAGGCACGAAGGUCAGGGGAGCAAACGGG